UGGGGAAUAUUGCACAAUGGGCGCAAGCCUGAUGCAGCCAUGCCGCGUGUAUGAAGAAGGCCUUCGGGUUGUAAAGUACUUUCAGCGAGGAGGAAGGGGAUGUGGUUAAUAACCGCAUUCAUUGACGUUACCCGCAGAAGAAGCACCGGCUAACUCCGUGCCAG
rnacentral:rRNA from 1 species